AGGUAAUUCAUCUUUUAAACUUCCAGGGAGAGGUAGAGUAUGACUGCAGUUCAAACACAAGCUGAGUGCUGUAUUUUACAGAAAAGAUGAGGGAAGUUCUCUUCAUCGAGCAAAACAUUGCAUGAAUUUCAAGAUCACUGCACAUUGGGAUAUUCACCUGCAGCUACAAUAUGAACAACAAACUCAGAGACCUCAGAAAUUUCCACAGAAAUCCAUACUGCAUUCGUUUCUCACCAGUGGAUCAACUGGCAAUAAAUACUAAAC